GUUUCAGCAUAAGUAUGUCCCAUACAACAUUUGGGAUAUACUUAUACUUAAA
rnacentral:pre_miRNA from 1 species